CGUCCUGCAAAGAUGGCGUGUGGGUGCACGCUCCUAUGGAACUGUUCACCACUAAACCAGAGGUCAACUGCAGCAUCACCUGAGAAUGUUUCGUCUUUACUACUUGUCUCCAGGAUAAUGUCAAGCGGUAACGUCACUGGAUCAUUUAACAUAAUUUUGGGCAAGUAAUUCAAAAUUUGAAGGAAAAAGGGCGAGGUAAGUUUUCUGCAAAUGUUACUUGAACCUCAGUGUAUAGUGAACCUCAGUGUAUAUUGGUUUUCUGGUGUAUAUUAAACAUGUUUUUUUUCAGCUUAAUGCCAUAGCUGAAAGUUUGUAAAUUGAAUUAUGUAUAAAAAAUUUGAAAUUUUGUACCUAGUAUACAAUUGUGCUGGGCAGCCCUCGUCCCAGGCAUUGGGGAAUUACGAGUAAUUGUUGGAACAUAUAAUACAUAAUAUUUGUUCAUAUGUAUACAGUACUGAAUAUUAUGUAUAGUAAUACCGGUGUUUUAAUUGAAUGACUCUUGUUCUGUUGUGAUGUUAUUUUACAAAACGGAGUUGUGGAACUUCUCUCAUCUUGAGACCAGUAGGUAACUGCCCCUUUUGGUGUUAUGUUAAUUUGCCAUAGAUUAGUUCAGGGGCUACUUAUCACCCUGGCAACUCAAGAGCCUGCCGCCCUGGCAACACCAGGGCCUGCCGCCCUGCUAACACCAGGGCCUACCGCCCUGCCAACACUAGGGCCUACCGUCCUGGCAAGUCCAGGGCUUGCCGCCUUGGCAACACCAGGGCCUACAGCCCUGGCAACUCCAGGGCCUGCCUCCCUGAUAACUCCAGGGCCUGCCAACACCAGGGCCUACAGCCCUGGCUACUCCAGGGCCUGCCGCCCUGGCAACUCCAGGACCUGCCGCCCUGGCAACUCCAGGGCCUGCCUCCCUGGCUACUCUAGGGCCUGCCGCCCUGGCAACUCCAGGACCUGCCGCCCUGGCAACUCCAGGGCCUGCCGCCCUGGCAACUCCAGGGCCUGCCUCCCUGGCUACUCCAGGGCCUGCCUCCCUGGCUACUCCAGGGCCUGCCUCCCUGGCUACUCCAGGGCCUGCCUCCCUGGCUACUCCAGGGCCUGCCACCCUGGCAACUCCAGGGCCUGCCCCCCUGGCAACUCCAGGACCUGCCGCCCUGGCAACUCCAGGGCCUGCCUCCCUGGCUAUUCCAGGGCCUGCCUCCCUGGCUACUCCAGGACCUGCCGCCCUGGCAACUCCAGGGCCUGCCUCCCUGGCUAUUCCAGGGCCUGCCGCCUUGGCAACUCCAGGACCUGCCGCCCUGGCAACUCCAGGGCCUGCCACCCUGGCUACUCCAGGGCCUGCCACCCUGGCCUAAUUCACCUUGUAAUUAAAAUGUUUUACACUGCUUUGUAUAUAAAUUAUUUGAAUUGUUUUCAAUUUUACUUCCAUCUAAAAAUCUAAAUUUUGUUUUUGGUUCAUUUUUCUUGCACUACUUAAUAUUUCCCUUUGCAACUUUAAUGUUAUUUCUUCAGCAAUUUUUUUAGCAAUAUUUCGCCGGUUUUUCUGCCUAAUUGUUAUGAGUAAUAAUUGUUCUUUUCAACCCAAUUUUUUUUUUCAGCUUAACAAUGUUGAACC